GGCCGCACUGAAAAAAAGUUUUUAAAAGCGUAUGCAUGUUUAAAAAUGUUAAAUUGUUAAACAACACUUGCGGUGAAAAUAUGAAGUGUUUAUUCUGAGUUGAAAAGACCGUACUUAUAUCUAGUAUUCUUAAUGUAAUUUAAAUAAUGUCUUCCUUUGCUAACUGCAUAUGACUUUGCUCUACUUAUAUUGUUUAAUACGUACUGAUGAAUUCAGCAGCGAAUUGGCUAAUGCUGCUAAUAAUUUUACUUUUUUUUCACAAUGAACAGUCUUCUUUGUGUAGUUUUCAUUAUAUUGAACUCUUAUUUUUCAUUAUGUACAUGCCUGCAAUUCGCAGCUCGCUGUUUUUGUUGUUGUAUGGUAUUGUUGUUUUGCCUUCAUUUGUUUUGUCUGGUCCUUUGUAGUUUGAAUGUUGUCACAUGAUCCAAAUAGGACAAGCUCCUUGAUCACCACCCCAUUGGGAAGAAACUAAAUCACGACCCCCAAAUGGUAGUCUUCCCAUGCAGAUACAGGGAUGUCACACAGAUCCAAAUGGAGACAUCGAACACUGUAAAACCCACUGUGCAGACAGGACCAAUGGUGACAAUAUAAGACCAUGCCGAGCUUCAUGGACGGUUCAAACUCAUCCUGCCCAGGAACGGCUGGUAUGUUUUUAUGUCUGAGACAAAUGUUGUGCUCAGUGGAAAUCUGGAUAGGCUUAUUAUUCCUUAUAUUAGUUAACAAUUGAUUAUUUACUCUUUGUUUAUUUAACCAAUCAACAUUCUCAAUAGCUUAUGCAAAUCUUGAAUAUAAAGAGGCCAGAAAUGGUGUUGAUUGUCUAAAAAAAGAAAGUUUGAUUGACACGUGCUGACUUUUGGAACGUUGGCCUGAACAAUGAAAUGGAAUCAACUGUGAAUUUUUAGGAUUUAGUUUCUCUAAAGAACAUAAUGUCACUUGUACAAUUAAGUAAAAUGUAACUUUUUGUGUUUGUUUUUUUGCAGAUAUGAAAUGCAUAUUUAUAACUUGUCUAACAAGUAGCUCAUUCAAAGAAAACGUUUACAGUCAAUCAACAGGGGAACAUGGAAAGAGAGGAUUGGAAGUGAAAUAGAGGUAUUUGGAAAACCAUAGGGGAAGGACUGUGGCAUCUUCAUGUUGAUGACUGAUAUGCCAACUCUGAGGAAGUGGUAGUGUAUAUUGCUAGCGGACAAUUUCAAACUUGGGUGCAUGCCACAGGAAAGAGUUUGCCCUAUGGACAGAUGAGGCAAAAGCAUUACUGCAGGGUUAAGUGCCACCAGUCUAUCAGUUACAGAGGUGAAAUUUGAAUAUAAUUGCUGAGGAAGAGGUGCAACCACAGCUCCUUCAAGUUAGUGGUGGCCCACUCCAAAAAGAUAUGGCGGGAAAAAAUGUUUUGCUAAAAGGAUUGUGCAAGACAGCACAAAAGCCUCGGACAGGGCUGGGGGUGUGGAAUCAAUGCAGUAGGAGUUCCCAAGUAUCCUGCAGAUGGAAGAGGAUGAGCACGAACUACAAUGUCUUGGAGCCAUUCAAGUUCUGUUUCAACCAUCUGGAAGAUGGAUUUACCUUUUUUGAGGAGAUUGUUGACUAAAGAAAAUAUCUGGUGUUCUCUCAAUAAUAAUAAAAAAUAAUAAAACUAAAAAAAUAAAGUUUACCACAUUAGAACUGGUUGUAUUGAGUUCAUUUUUCUACACUUAUAAAUUAGUUGUUUUUUUUUUCUUUUAUCCCAGAUGUUAGUUGUAGGUAGUUUUAAUUACCUGUGAUGAAGGCGGGAGUGCUUGCCGAAAAAUGUCAGGUAAUUAAAACAACCUACAACUAUUGUCUGGGAUAAAAGAAAAAAACAACUAACACAUGACAACUAUUUUGUCAUUUCUGUUUGAAAUAAAGGUGCCUUUCCUGGAGCAGAAAGUUUAAUAUAGUUUCUGAAUUAGUUAAUUAGGAUCUUCACCCACAUGAAUGAAUUUAAGUAGCAAAAUGAAAGACAAAAUUGGUUUGGUUGCAACAUUGAGAGAAUAUUACGUUUUUGAUACAUUAAAUUGUAAUGAAGCUAUAUUAAUGUGUCCGUUCAUGAAAAUGUAAGGAUGACAGCAAUUUCUAAUAAUUCUCAAUUGGAGUAUAUUUUACAAUUGACAAACUAAAGUACACACUGUGAUAGGUCACAGGCGAUCUUUCAGUCACUAAUUAAACCUUUAUUGCAAUAGUGUGUAUUUUAAUUUUGAUGUACUGUAACCGUGUUUUUCAUUUUGGUAAAAUCAGCAGGCUUUGACAAACUGACCGCGCUUAAAGAGUUAAUCUCCCGAUUUCACCAAAUCAAUUUAAGGAGCAUGGAAAUAAAUUAUUAUUUAAAUAAUAAUGAGUGAUGCUGAAACCGAAAAUAAAAGACGUGCGAAA